rnacentral:tRNA from 1 species
GCGCAGGUGGUGAAAUUGGUAUACACGCUACUUUGAGGGGGUAGUGGUCGCAAGAUCGUGUGAGUUCGAGUCUCAUUCUGCGCACCA